rnacentral:tRNA from 1 species
GGUUCUAUGGUGUAACAGGCAACACUCAGGACUUUGAAUCCUGCAAUCUGAGCUCAAAUCUGAUGGGACCU